GAUGAAGAACGUAGCGAAAUGCGAUACUUGGUGUGAAUUGCAGAAUCCCGUGAACCAUCGAGUCUUUGAACGCAAGUUGCGCCCGAAGCCAUUAGGCCGAGGGCACGCCUGCCUGGGCGUCACACGUCGUUGCCCCCCCAUCUACUCCUUCGGGAUUGCGGGGGGCGAAUGAUGGCCUCUCGUGCGCCUCGUCGCGCGGUUGGCCUAAAUGCCAAGUCCUCGGCGACGCACGCCACGACAAUCGGUGGUUGCGAAACCUCGGUUGCCUGUCGUGUGCGGUCGUCGCGCAUCGAGGGCUCGAAAAAAUUGCCGGGCUUCGGCUCGACUUUCAACGCGACCCCAGGUCAGGCGGGGUUACCCGCUGAAUUUAAGCAUAUCAAUAAGCGGAGGA
rnacentral:misc_RNA from 1 species